AGUGAACGCUGGCGGCAGGCCUAACACAUGCAAGUCGAACGGCAGCACAGAGGAGCUUGCUCCUUGGGUGGCGAGUGGCGGACGGGUGAGGAAUACGUCGGAAUCUGCCUAUUUGUGGGGGAUAACGUAGGGAAACUUACGCUAAUACCGCAUACGACCUACGGGUGAAAGUGGGGGACCGCAAGGCCUCACGCAGAUAGAUGAGCCGACGUCGGAUUAGCUAGUUGGCGGGGUAAAGGCCCACCAAGGCGACGAUCCGUAGCUGGUCUGAGAGGAUGAUCAGCCACACUGGAACUGAGACACGGUCCAGACUCCUACGGGAGGCAGCAGUGGGGAAUAUUGGACAAUGGGCGCAAGCCUGAUCCAGCCAUGCCGCGUGUGUGAAGAAGGCCUUCGGGUUGUAAAGCACUUUUGUCCGGAAAGAAAAGC
rnacentral:rRNA from 1 species